rnacentral:rRNA from 1 species
ACGGGUGAGUAAUAUAUCGGAACGUGCCCAGUAGUGGGGGAUAGCCCGGCGAAAGCCGGAUUAAUACCGCAUACGACCUACGGGUGAAAGCGGGGGAUCGCAAGACCUCGCGCUAUUGGAGCGGCCGAUAUCAGAUUAGCUAGUUGGUGGGGUAAAAGCCUACCAAGGCGACGAUCUGUAGCUGGUCUGAGAGGACGACCAGCCACACUGGGACUGAGACACGGCCCAGACUCCUACGGGAGGCAGCAGUGGGGAAUUUUGGACAAUGGGCGCAAGCCUGAUCCAGCCAUGCCGCGUGCGGGAAGAAGGCCUUCGGGUUGUAAACCGCUUUUGUCAGGGAAGAAACGGUCUGAUCUAAUACAUUGGACUAAUGACGGUACCUGAAGAAUAAGCACCGGCUAACUACGUGCCAGCAGCCGCGGUAAUACGUAGGGUGCAAGCGUUAAUCGGAAUUACUGGGCGUAAAGCGUGCGCAGGCGGCUUUGCAAGACAGAUGUGAAAUCCCCGGGCUCAACCUGGGAACUGCAUUUGUGACUGCAAGGCUGGAGUACGGUAGAGGGGGAUGGAAUUCCGCGUGUAGCAGUG